AUCGCUGUGGGCUAAUUGGCAAGCCACAAUGGGAUGUAGGUUCGAUUCCUACCGGCGAUA
rnacentral:tRNA from 1 species